rnacentral:rRNA from 1 species
AUGGGGGGAGGGAACGGCAUCGUCGACGGCUUCCGCCGCUUGUUCCACCGCCGCACGCCCUCCGGCUCCGUGCUCGGCAGCUCCAACCAGUCCUCCGCCGGCGAGGACUCCUCCGACGCCGAGGCCGCCGAGGACCUGGAUCUCGUGGGCCUCCGCCCCAUCCGCGUCCCCAAGCGCAAGAUGCCGCUCCCCGUCGAGAGCCACAAGAAGAACAUAAUGGAGAAAGAAUUCUUCACAGAGUAUGGAGAGGCAAGCCAGUACCAAAUCCAGGAAGUUGUUGGCAAGGGGAGUUAUGGAGUAGUUGCUGCUGCAAUAGAUACCCGCACCGGCGAGCGGGUUGCGAUUAAGAAGAUCAACGAUGUGUUUGAGCACGUCUCGGAUGCCACACGCAUCCUCCGCGAGGUCAAGCUCCUUCGGCUGCUACGUCAUCCAGACGUGGUGGAGAUCAAGCACAUAAUGCUCCCCCCUUCUCGGAGGGAGUUCCAAGAUAUAUAUGUUGUUUUCGAGCUCAUGGAGUCGGAUCUCCAUCAGGUCAUCAGAGCUAAUGAUGACCUCACGGCGGAGCAUUACCAGUUUUUCCUUUACCAGCUUCUCCGUGCUCUCAAGUACAUCCAUGGCGCUAAUGUAUUUCAUCGCGAUCUGAAGCCCAAGAAUAUACUGGCCAACGCAGACUGCAAACUGAAAAUUUGUGACUUUGGACUUGCGCGUGUAUCAUUUAAUGAUGCUCCUUCAGCUAUAUUUUGGACGGAUUAUGUAGCAACAAGGUGGUACAGAGCCCCUGAAUUAUGUGGCUCCUUUUUCUCGAAAUACACUCCUGCUAUUGAUAUUUGGAGUAUUGGAUGCAUAUUUGCCGAGCUUCUCACUGGACGGCCACUCUUUCCUGGGAAGAAUGUUGUACACCAGUUAGAUAUAAUAACAGAUCUUCUUGGAACUCCAUCAUCAGAAACCUUAUCUCGGAUUCGAAAUGAGAAGGCCAGGAGGUACUUAAGUUGCAUGCGGAAAAAACACCCUGUACCCUUGACUCAGAAAUUUCCUAAUGCCGAUCCAUUGGCGGUUCGCCUACUGGGUCGUUUACUUGCAUUUGAUCCUAAAGACCGGCCUUCAGCUGAAGAGGCUUUAGCAGACCCAUAUUUUGCAUCUCUUGCCAAUGUGGAGCGUGAGCCAUCAAGGCAUCCAAUUUCGAAACUCGAGUUUGAGUUUGAGAGACGAAAGGUUACAAAAGAUGAUGUUAGGGAAUUGAUCUAUCGAGAGAUUUUGGAGUACCAUCCACAGAUGCUGGAGGAAUACAUGAAAGGUGGAGACCAGAUUAGCUUCCUCUAUCCAAGUGGUGUUGACCGCUUUAAACGGCAGUUUGCACACCUGGAGGAGCAUUACAGCAAAGGAGAACGAGGUUCUCCGCUGCAAAGAAAGCAUGCCUCUUUACCAAGGCAGAGGGUAGGUGCAUCGAACGACGGUAAUAAUGAGCAGCAUAUUAGUGAUCAGGAGAUGAGUGCAGAGCCUGAUGCCCAUGGUGCAGUGAGCCCUCAAAAGUCACAGGAUGCACCCGGUGUUGGCCAGAAUGGUCUGAGCCCCACCAGCUUGAGCUCGCGGACCUACCUCAAGAGCGCGAGCAUUAGCGCUUCCAAGUGCGUCGUUGUCAACCCGAAUAAACAGCCAGAGUAUGACGACGCGAUCUCUGAGGAAACAGAAGGAGCCGUCGAUGGACUAUCCGAGAAGGUCUCAAAGAUGCAUGCCUAG